UGAUCAUGGCUCAGAUUGAACGCUGGCGGCAGGCCUAACACAUGCAAGUCGAACGGUAACAGGAAGCAGCUUGCUGCUUUGCUGACGAGUGGCGGACGGGUGAGUAAUGUCUGGGAAACUGCCUGAUGGAGGGGGAUAACUACUGGAAACGGUGGCUAAUACCGCAUAACGUCGCAAGACCAAAGAGGGGGACCUUCGGGCCUCUUGCCAUCAGAUGUGCCCAGAUGGGAUUAGCUUGUUGGUGAGGUAACGGCUCACCAAGGCGACGAUCCCUAGCUGGUCUGAGAGGAUGACCAGCCACACUGGAACUGAGACACGGUCCAGACUCCUACGGGAGGCAGCAGUGGGGAAUAUUGCACAAUGGGCGCAAGCCUGAUGCAGCCAUGCCGCGUGUAUGAAGAAGGCCUUCGGGUUGUAAAGUACUUUCAGCGGGGAGGAAGGUGUUGUGGUUAAUAACCGCAGCAAUUGACGUUACCCGCAGAAGAAGCACCGGCUAACUCCGUGCCAGCAGCCGCGGUAAUACGGAGGGUGCAAGCGUUAAUCGGAAUUACUGGGCGUAAAGCGCACGCAGGCGGUCUGUCAAGUCGGAUGUGAAAUCCCCGGGCUCAACCUGGGAACUGCAUUCGAAACUGGCAGGCUUGAGUCUUGUAGAGGGGGGUAGAAUUCCAGGUGUAGCGGUGAAAUGCGUAGAGAUCUGGAGGAAUACCGGUGGCGAAGGCGGCCCCCUGGACAAAGACUGACGCUCAGGUGCGAAAGCGUGGGGAGCAAACAGGAUUAGAUACCCUGGUAGUCCACGCCGUAAACGAUGUCUACUUGGAGGUUGUGCCCUUGAGGCGUGGCUUCCGGAGCUAACGCGUUAAGUAGACCGCCUGGGGAGUACGGCCGCAAGGUUAAAACUCAAAUGAAUUGACGGGGGCCCGCACAAGCGGUGGAGCAUGUGGUUUAAUUCGAUGCAACGCGAAGAACCUUACCUGGUCUUGACAUCCACAGAACUUUCCAGAGAUGGAUUGGUGCCUUCGGGAACUGUGAGACAGGUGCUGCAUGGCUGUCGUCAGCUCGUGUUGUGAAAUGUUGGGUUAAGUCCCGCAACGAGCGCAAC
rnacentral:rRNA from 1 species